CAAACACUCAAUGGAGACUGUGAACAGAGCUGGUAUACAGAGGAUAAGCGUCUGAUCGCAGAUCCAUCAGAUCCACACAAACUGAUGUAUCCAGUGACGUCUGUAUCAUCUGACCAUCUCGUCACUUCUGACUGUGUGAAUCUGAAUCAUGAGAUCAUCUGUGAUUCUGCUGAUGGACAUCAUUACAGUCAUGAGACCGUGUUCAGAGUGAGGAAUGAGACCGACAGCAGCGGACCGACACCAACUCCAGAAUCCAGUUCAGCUGACUGAAUCAAACACACGCUGAAUCCUUCAUAUUGUUUAAUCAUUUUAUAGAUGAUUUUAAUGUGGUGUUUAUU